AUUCUACAGAUCUGCCAUACAACAUUGUGCUUAUGGUUAACAGUGUUACAGUGUGCACUUAAAUAUUUAUUAACAGGGUAGAUCUAUAGUUAAGUGUUCUUACCACAAUAAAAAAAGACUAAUGUAUUAAAAAGAAUUGUUAGUUUAUGUUUUUGUAUAUAUUAUGCAUAAAGAUGUAAUUCUUUGACACCAACAACUGAAAAAGGUGGGGACUGAGCUGUAAAGGAGCAGAGUUUUUGUGUGUUAUUGAAGUUAAGCUGUAUAAAUUCAAAUCAGAGUAUUAUAACUUUAGAAUGUUAAAUGUAAUCUCCAUGGUAACCACAGAGAAAGUAGCUAUAGAAUAUUUACAAAAGGAAAUGAGUAAGAAAUGUAAAUGCUUCACUGUAAAAAAAAAACAGCAACUAAAUACAUAUGAAGAAAGUAAUGCAGGAAAUAAAGGACAAAAAGAAGCUAUAAGGGAGCUUAUGUACCAGUAAGGAAGCGUCUCAUUUAUAAGGGAGCAACUGGAAAUAUAGAAUUGGAGUUCAUUGUGACGCAGAUUUGGGAAUUUCAGGCCACAAGCAGCAGUUAUGGCCCAGGAAUGACUGAUUUUCCAAAGGGGUAAAAUGACAAGGAAAGAGAUGAAGACUUCUUCCAGGAUCCUGAGGUGCUUCAUUGUCUCCAGAGAGGCCCCAUCCCACACCCCUCAGUCACUCAUAUCUGGACACAUCGGACCUUGUCAGCAUCAAUAAUGGACAUACCUCUGAUAUUUGAACUUUGAAUCUCACUCUGUGACCAUGACUUUGUAUCUUUCUAAGUCUUUAAUCUUCAGCCUCACAGAACUCUUCGUACUCUAAAAUAUAGUAUUUUCACCUGGUCUGUCAUCCUCUUUAGUGCCUUCAUUUUUUUUUUUCCUCACCAAGACUGGUUCCCAUGGUGAUAUCAUGAAUGACUUUACCACUAAUAACCAAACUUGCAUGUGUUCCCCCUUC
rnacentral:lncRNA from 1 species